rnacentral:ncRNA from 1 species
AUAAAAGCAUUGAAAAAGAGGAGUAAAAAUUUUAAGGCAUUAAAGGAAACUCAGAAAAUAAAAUUGAGGAGUACAGUUCUUUAGCUAAAUCAUAGAUUUAGAAAAGACUAGCAAGAGAGAGGGAGUAGCUGAAAACCCUUAUGCAAGAAAUUUUGAAGGUAGCUUUUGAGCUUCUUUAGUGAAAUAGUAGUAGCUAAAGACGGUUUAUCUGAAUCGUUAUUUGAAUUAAGAGUCCAUUAAGACAUGUUAUAAUUGUUUUUGUGGAAAUAAAGGUGGUACCGCGAGCUUUCGUCCUUUUU